CAAUAGCGUAUAUUAAAGUUGUUGCGGUUAAAAAGCUCGUAGUUGGAUUUCUGCCGAGGACGACCGGUCCGCCCUCCGGGUGAGUAUCUGGCUCGGCCUGGGCAUCUUCUUGGAGAACGUAGCUGCACUUGGCUGUGUGGUGCGGUAUUCAGGACUUUUACUUUGAGGAAAUUAGAGUGUUUCAAGCAGGCAUACGCCUUGAAUACAUUAGCAUGGAAUAAUAAGAUAGGACCUCGGUUCUAUUUUGUUGGUUUCUAGAUCUGAGGUAAUGAUUAAUAGGGAUAGUUGGGGGCAUUCGUAUUUAACUGUCGGAGGUGAAAUUCUUGGAUUUGUUAAAGACGGACUACUGCGAAAGCAUUUGCCAAGGAUGUUUUCAUUGA
rnacentral:rRNA from 1 species